CUUGUACACACCGCCCGUCACACCAUGGGAGUGGGUUUCACCAGAAGUAGGUAGUCUAACCGCAGGGAGGGCGCUUACCACGGUGGGAUUCAUGACUGGGGUG
rnacentral:rRNA from 1 species